CGCCGCUCCCGCGUCCCUCGGUGCCCGAAAGGGUGGCUGCUGCGGGGCGCCGGGGGGCUCAAAUGCCUCUCUCCGGCGCUCCCGCGGCCCAAGCCCUCGAGCUCGAGGCCGGGCAGGGCCUUUUGAGCUUUUGAGGCAUGAAUCCAUAUAGACGACGAAGAAGACAUCAACAGUAAGAGAUGGUUUAAUUCAUUCUCCAGUAUAUCAUGAAAGUGUGGAUAGCCUGGCAGAUAACUGUUUGCAACAUGUUUAUUCCUGCAAAAAUUGUUUACAAAGUAUCAAUAGUAAAAAGAAAUUCUGAGCUGUCACAAUUUUAGCUAUUAGCUGCGGUUCUUAGAAUUAGACAGGGUCCCAGGAGCAUCCCACAUACCCCCAGACAUGGCGAUUUUGGUGAUGCCCCCCUUGGUGGAGGUCUUUCGGUCCCUGAGCUUCCACUCUGUGACACUCACACUGAAUGAGCCGGGGAAGCAAACUGCUACCUGUCUCAUUGAAUCCCUGAGCAAACACUGUGGGGGACUCACACUGGAAGUCCUUUCUGGGGUGGGGCUGGGUGACCCUUUCAGUCCCUGAGCACGCACUGAGGGCGAAUCACACUGGUCGAGUGAACAGGGUCCACUCCUCCAAUGCCUGAGGACCCCCUCAGUGAGACUCAAACUGGAAGGCAAUCCUUUGCAAUCGCCUCACACUAGAAAUAAGGCGUCCUUGGUGCUCUCUGAGCUUGGUGGUUUUCUUGUAGACGUUUCAUUAGCAAACUAGAGAACAUCAUCAGUGCUAGUAGAAGAGAGUGUGGUUUGCUGUCAGUUUAUGUUCAAGUAGCUUCUUUCAGUGUUGUUGAAAAUGGUCUUGGAGGUCCUUUGUUGUGCUAUUUGUUGUUAGCUUCUUUGACCGUUCCUUGAUUGCGGUAUUGUUUUCUUGCCAUGGCGAUGGUUUUUAGAACCUGAAAUAAAACCUCAACGGCCAUAUUAGCUAUGGCCGUGGAGGUUAGGGUUUUUUAGCUUUGCAGACUGAGUGGGGGAAGAAUUGCACAUCUCUGCCAAAAGUGCCUCGAAAGAGACAACGCUUGCUGGGCACGACUGAGGAAAAAGCAGAAGAAGAAAGAAGAAAGUAGAGAGCAUGAAAAUGUCUCCAGCUCAAGUCUUUCGGCUGUGAUGUGGCCUCCUACGCUGUGAGGUAAGUUUAGCCGAGUCUUAUAUUCUUCAGAGUUUUGGGGUAUGGAGGGAAGUGGAUGGUCCUUCCUAAGUAGGUAACAUCUGCAACUGAGCUAAUAGUGAGCACUGCGUACUGUGCAUUCUUAGGAGUAAAACUCCAAUGGCAGCUGAAGUAAUGUUAGGUUUUGGUUAACUCUACACCACCUUAGAAGACAGAAGACUCAGCUGUCAGCCUGCAGCAUUGAUGGAAAAAGAAGGAAUGGAACGCAAGAAUGAAUAUGAUCUCCAUCAAAAAUGAAUAUGAUCUCCAUCAAGAAUGCCCCUUCACCAAGUCAAUCACAACUCACCUUUACAUGAUAGAUUUUAGAGCAUUCUUGCCUGCUGUAAAUUUAGCCAUGGCAAUGGUUAUUAGAACCAAAAAAACCUCCUCAGUGGCCCUAUUUAAUCCUAGCCAUGGCUGUUGAUGGAUUAUAGAUUUUAUAGUUUUCUGCCUGGCAUAGUUUUAGCCCUGGCAAUGGUUCUUAGAACCAGAAAGAAAACUUCACUGGCUUUUUUAAAUGACCAGUGUGUGGCCAGUGCUUGGUAACAGAUUUUAUAAUUUUCUGCCUGGCAUAAAUUUAGCCCUGGCGAUGGUUCUUAGAACCAGAAAGAAAACCUCAUUGGCCCCUUUAAAUGACCAGUAUGUGGCCAGUGAUUGGUAAUAGAUUUUAUAGUUUUCUGCCUGGCGUAAUUUUAGCCCUGGCAAUGUUCUUAGAACCAGAAAUAAAACUUCACUGGCCCUUUUAAAUGACCAGUAUGUGGCCAGUGAUUGAUAAUAGAUUUUAUAAUUUUCUGCCUGGCAUAAUUCUAGCCCUGGCGAUGGUUCUUAGAACCAGAAAGAAAACCGCAUUGGCCCCUUUAAAUGACCAGUAUGUGGCCAGUGAUUGAUAAUAGAUUUUAUAGUUUUCUGCCUGGCAUAAUUCUAGCCCUGGCAAUGGUUCUUAGAACCAGAAAGAGAACCUCAACGGCCCUAUUUAAUGCUAGGUGUGGCCGUUGAUCUAUAGAAGAUUUUGUAGUUUUUGAAUCUCUGAGAUUGAGUGGAGGAACAAUUGCGCACCUGGUGCCAAUGUUCCUUGAAAGGGACAUGGGCAGAGGAAGAAGGAAAAGAACGAAGAAGAAAGAAGAGAGGAUGAAAAUGUCUCCAGCUCAAGACCUUCGGCGGUGAUGUGGCCUGCUACGUUGUGAGGCAUGUACUCUACACCACCUUAGAAGACAGAAGACUCAGCUGUCAGCCUGCGGCGUUGAAGGAAGAAGGAGGAACCGAAUGCAAGAACGAAUAUGAUCUCCAUCAAGAAUGCCCCUUCACCAAGUCAAUCACAACUCACCUUUACAUGAUAGAUUUUAGAGCAUUCUUGCCUGCUGUAGAUUUAGCCAUGGCAAUGGUUAUUAGAACCAAAAAAUCCUCCUCAGUGGCCCUAUUUAAUCCUAGCCAUGGCUGUUGAUGGAUUAUAGAUUUUAUAGUUUUCUGCCUGGCGUAAUUUUAGCCCUGGCGAUGGUUCUUUGAACCAGAAAGAAAACCUCAUUGGCCCUUUUAAAUGACCAGUG